UGACCGAUAGUGUACCUGUACGGUGAGGGAUUGGAGAAAUGCUCCUCGGAUGGGGUGUGAAUCAGUUCCUGAAACCGUGUGCCUACAUGUAGUUAGAGCCCGUUAAUGGGUGUUAGCGUGCCUUUUGUAGAAUGAACCGGCGUGUUACGAUUUGUUGCAAGGUUAAGCGGAAAAAGCGGAGCCGUUGCGAAAGCGAGUCUGAUUAGGGCGCAUAAGUUACAGGUCGUAGUCACGAUUCCAGGUGUUCUAC
rnacentral:rRNA from 1 species